UGCAGUCGAGCGAACCGACGGGAGCUUGCUCCCUUAGGUUAGCGGCGGACGGGUGAGUAACACGUGGGUAACCUGCCUGUAAGACUGGGAUAACUCCGGGAAACCGGGGCUAAUACCGGAUGCUUGAUUGAACCGCAUGGUUCAAUUAUAAAAGGUGGCUUUUAGCUACCACUUACAGAUGGACCCGCGGCGCAUUAGCUAGUUGGUGAGGUAACGGCUCACCAAGGCGACGAUGCGUAGCCGACCUGAGAGGGUGAUCGGCCACACUGGGACUGAGACACGGCCCAGACUCCUACGGGAGGCAGCAGUAGGGAAUCUUCCGCAAUGGACGAAAGUCUGACGGAGCAACGCCGCGUGAGUGAUGAAGGUUUUCGGAUCGUAAAACUCUGUUGUUAGGGAAGAACAAGUACCGUUCGAACAGGGCGGUACCUUGACGGUACCUAACCAGAAAGCCACGGCUAACUACGUGCCAGCAGCCGCGGUAAUACGUAGGUGGCAAGCGUUGUCCGGAAUUAUUGGGCGUAAAGCGCGCGCAGGCGGUUUCUUAAGUCUGAUGUGAAAGCCCCCGGCUCAACCGGGGAGGGUCAUUGGAAACUGGGGAACUUGAGUGCAGAAGAGGAGAGUGGAAUUCCACGUGUAGCGGUGAAAUGCGUAGAGAUGUGGAGGAACACCAGUGGCGAAGGCGACUCUCUGGUCUGUAACUGACGCUGAGGCGCGAAAGCGUGGGGAGCGAACAGGAUUAGAUACCCUGGUAGUCCACGCCGUAAACGAUGAGUGCUAAGUGUUAGAGGGUUUCCGCCCUUUAGUGCUGCAGCAAACGCAUUAAGCACUCCGCCUGGGGAGUACGGUCGCAAGACUGAAACUCAAAGGAAUUGACGGGGGCCCGCACAAGCGGUGGAGCAUGUGGUUUAAUUCGAAGCAACGCGAAGAACCUUACCAGGUCUUGACAUCCUCUGACACCCCUAGAGAUAGGGCUUCCCCUUCGGGGGCAGAGUGACAGGUGGUGCAUGGUUGUCGUCAGCUCGUGUCGUGAGAUGUUGGGUUAAGUCCCGCAACGAGCGCAACCCUUGAUCUUAGUUGCCAGCAUUCAGUUGGGCACUCUAAGGUGACUGCCGGUGACAA
rnacentral:rRNA from 1 species